rnacentral:rRNA from 1 species
UCCGUAGGUGGAUAAUUAAGUCAGAGGUGAAAUCCUGCAGCUCAACUGUAGAAUUGCCUUUGAUACUGGUUAUCUUGAGUCAUUAUGAAGUGGUUAGAAUAUGUAGUGUAGCGGUGAAAUGCAUAGAUAUUACAUAGAAUACCAAUUGCGAAGGCAGAUCACUAAUAAUGUACUGACACUGAUGGACGAAAGCGUGGGGAGCGAACAGGAUUAGAUACCCUGGUAGUCC